GACGAACGCUGGCGGCGUGCUUAACACAUGCAAGUCGAACGGUGAAGCGCCUUCCUUUUUGGUGGGUGUGGAUGAGUGGCGAACGGGUGAGUAACACGUGAGUAACCUGCCCCCUUCUUCUGGAUAACCGCAUGAAAGUGUGGCUAAUACGGGAUAUUCUGGGUCUGUCGCAUGAUGGGUCUGGGAAAGAUAUUGUUUCGGUGGGGGAUGGGCUCGCGGCCUAUCAGCUUGUUGGUGGGGUGAUGGCCUACCAAGGCGGUGACGGGUAGCCGGCCUGAGAGGGUGGACGGUCACACUGGGACUGAGACACGGCCCAGACUCCUACGGGAGGCAGCAGUGGGGAAUAUUGCACAAUGGGCGAAAGCGUGAUGCAGCGACGCCGCGUGAGGGAUGGAGGCCUUCGGGUUGUGAACCUCUUUCGCCAGUGAAGCAGGCCUGCCUCGUUUGUGGGUGGGUUGACGGUAGCUGGAGAAGAAGCGCCGGCUAACUACGUG
rnacentral:rRNA from 1 species